AGCGAACGCUGGCGGCAGGCCUAACACAUGCAAGUCGAACGAACCCUUCGGGGUUAGUGGCGGACGGGUGAGUAACACGUGGGAACGUGCCUUUAGGUUCGGAAUAACUCAGGGAAACUUGUGCUAAUACCGAACGUGCCCUUCGGGGGAAAGAUUUAUCGCCUUUAGAGCGGCCCGCGUCUGAUUAGCUAGUUGGUGAGGUAAUGGCUCACCAAGGCUACGAUCAGUGGCUGGUCUGAGAGGAUGACCAGCCACAUUGGGACUGAGACACGGCCCAAACUCCUACGGGAGGCAGCAGUGGGGAAUCUUGCGCAAUGGGCGAAAGCCUGACGCAGCCAUGCCGCGUGGAUGAUGAAGGUCUUAGGAUUGUAAAAUCCUUUCACCGGUGAAGAUAAUGACUGUAGCCGGAGAGGAAGCCCCGGCUAACUUCGUGCCAGCCGCCGCGGUAAAAC
rnacentral:rRNA from 1 species